GUGACGGUACCUGUAUAAGAAGCACCGGCUAACUACGUGCCAGCAGCCGCGGUAAUACGUAGGGUGCGAGCGUUGUCCGGAAUUACUGGGCGUAAAGAGCUCGUAGGUGGUUUGUCGCGUCGUCUGUGAAAUUCCGGGGCUUAACUUCGGGCGUGCAGGCGAUACGGGCAUAACUUGAGUGCUGUAGGGGAGACUGGAAUUCCUGGUGUAGCGGUGAAAUGCGCAGAUAUCAGGAGGAACACCGAUGGCGAAGGCAGGUCUCUGGGCAGUUACUGACGCUGAGGAGCGAAAGCAUGGGUAGCAAACAGGAUUAGAUACCCUGGUAGUCCAUGCCGUAAACGGUGGGCGCUAGGUGUAGGGGGCUUCCACGUCUUCUGUGCCGUAGCUAACGCAUUAAGCGCCCCGCCUGGGGAGUACGGCCGCAAGGCUAAAACUCAAAGGAAUUGACGGGGGCCCGCACAAGCGGCGGAGCAUGUGGAUUAAUUCGAUGCAACGCGAAGAACCUUACCUGGGCUUGACAUACACCAGAUUGCUGCAGAGAUGUAGUGUCCCUUGUGGUUGGUGUACAGGUGGUGCAUGGUUGUCGUCAGCUCGUGUCGUGAGAUGUUGGGUUAAGUCCCGCAACGAGCGCAACCCUUGUCUUAUGUUGCCAGCAUUUGGUUGGGGACUCAUGAGAGACUGCCGGGGUUAACUCGGAGGAAGGUGGGGAUGACGUCAAAUCAUCAUGCCCCUUAUGUCCAGGGCUUCACACAUGCUACAAUGGUCGGUACAACGCGCAGCGACACUGUGAGGUGGAGCGAAUCGCUGAAAGCCGGCCUUAGUUCGGAUUGGGGUCUGCAACUCGACCCCAUGAAGUCGGAGUCGCUAGUAAUCGCAGAUCAGCAAUGCUGCGGUGAAUACGUUCCCGGGCCUUGUACACACCGCCCGUCACGUCAUGAAAGUUGGUAACACCCGAAGCCAGUGGCCUAAACUUGUUAGGGAGCUGUCGAAGGUGGGAUCGGCGAUUGGGACGAAGUCGUAACAAGGUACCCGUACCGGAAGG
rnacentral:rRNA from 1 species